rnacentral:rRNA from 1 species
CAAUAGCGUAUAUUAAAGCUGUUGCGGUUAAAAAGCUCGUAGUUGGAUUUCUGUCAAGUACAACUGGUCCGCCCUCCGGGUGAGCACAUAGUUUGGUCUUGGCAUCUUGCUGGAAAUUGUUGCUGCACUUGGCUGUGUGGCGCAGUGUCCAGCACUUUCACUUUGAGGAAAUUGGAGUGUUUCAAGCAGGCAAUGCCUUUGAACACAGUAGCAUGGAAUAAUUAGAUUGGGCUUUUGCUCCAAUUUGUCGGUUUCUGGAGCUGAGGUGAGAAUUAAUGGGGAUUGUUGGGUGCAUCCGAAUUUAGCCGUCAGAGGUGAAAUUCUUGGAUCGGCUAAAGACGGACAACUGCGAAAGCGUUUGCCCAGGAUGUUUNCAUUGA